rnacentral:tRNA from 1 species
GGCUCCGUGGCUUAAUGGUUACGGCUUCUGUCUCCGAAGCAGAAGGUUCAGGGAUCAAAUCCCGGUCGGUACCU